UCUUGGUCAUUUAGAGGAAGUAAAAGUCGUAACAAGGUUUCCGUAGGUGAACCUGCGGAAGGAUCAUUAAUGAAACUUCAAAGUCGGCUGUUUCUGUGCUGGUGGUCACCCACAUGUGCACGUUCGGUCGCAAUCCACACACCUGUGCACUUUUGACUCUGAGCACCGCCCGCAAGGGCAGAAGGUCUUGAUCGGACCCGGUACUCGAGUACUUUACACACUCUGAAUGUAAUGGAAUGUCACUGUACAAUGUACAACUAUAAACAACUUUCAACAACGGAUCUCUUGGCUCUCGCAUCGAUGAAGAACGCAGCGAAAUGCGAUAAGUAAUGUGAAUUGCAGAAUUCAGUGAAUCAUCGAAUCUUUGAACGCACCUUGCGCCCUUUGGUAUUCCGAAGGGCACGCCCGUUUGAGUGUCAUUGUAAUCUCACUUCAACAACUUUUGUUGUGGAAUGUGGACUUGGAUGUUGUCGUGUUCAACGACUCGUCUCAAAUGCCUGAGUGUACCCUGCUUUGCAGCGUAUCAGUGUGAUAAACAUCUUCACUGUUAAGUCUUCGGACACGCUUUGUAUCGUGGGCUCUAUGCUUCGAACCGUCUUUGGACAAUCUCUGACAAUUUGACCUCAAAUCGGGCGGGACUACCCGCUGAACUUAAGCAUAUCAAUAAGCGGAGGAAAAGAAACUAACAAGGAUUCCCCUAGUAACGGCGAGUGAAGAGGGAAAAGCUCAAAUUUUGAAUCUGGUGUCUUUGACACCCGAGUUGUAAUCUAGAGAAGUGUUUUCCGUGCUGGACCGUGUAC
rnacentral:rRNA from 1 species